rnacentral:tRNA from 1 species
GGGGAUGUCGUCCAAUGGCUAGGACUCUGGUCUCCAAAACCAGGUAUGAAGGUUCGAGUCCUUCCGUCCCCGCCA